GUGGGGAAUAUUGGACAAUGGGCGCAAGCCUGAUCCAGCAAUGCCGCGUGUGUGAAGAAGGCCUGCGGGUUGUAAAGCACUUUCAGUGGGGAGGAAGGCCUCGAUGUUAAUAGUAUCGAGGAUUGACGUUACCUACAGAAGAAGCACCGGCUAACUCUGUGCCAGCAGCCGCGGUAAUACAGAGGGUGCGAGCGUUAAUCGGAAUUACUGGGCGUAAAGGGCGCGUAGGUGGUUACUUAAGUCAGAUGUGAAAUCCCUGGGCUUAACCUAGGAAUUGCGUUUGAAACUGAGUAGCUAGAGUAUGGGAGAGGGAAGUGGAAUUUCCGGUGUAGCGGUGAAAUGCGUAGAUAUCGGAAGGAACACCAGUGGCGAAGGCGACUUCCUGGCCCAUUACUGACACUGAGGCGCGAAAGCGUGGGGAGCGAACAGGAUUAGAUACCCUAGUAGUCC
rnacentral:rRNA from 1 species